rnacentral:pre_miRNA from 1 species
UGUGUGUGUAUGUAUGUGUGCAUGUGCAUGCAUGCAUGACAAAGGUUAUCUCAUACAUGAGUACUUACCUUUGAAGCA